AGAUAUUGAAUUUCCCUAACAAGCCAAACAGAUUUUACGCAGGAGUAAGAAAUGAGUGAGACUCUCAUAUUUUAGUCACUACUAUCCAUCGGUAAAAACCACGCACAGUCAAAGUAUAGACUACCUUAGGAUGGUCGUAAAGAAAACAAAUGGGACAACAGUAGCAAUUGCCAAGCGAGAAGGAAGCUAUGGCAAUGGCAAUCUUCCCAACAACAGAGCUAAGAAAAACCAGGGUACUCCUAAACAGAUAGGAGAUAACCAACAAAGGAUCCUGCCCUGCCCAAAGUAUGACAAGAACCCUAGAAGAUGCUGCAAUAAUAAUAAAGUGAAAGUGAAGAUUGUUACACGGUAACCAGAAGGGCAUUUUGCAAACCGUUGUUUAAAUAAGGAACAAGAGACGGGCCUAUGCUGAACUUGCUUGUCCAGGCUCCGUAUAUGCAAACGACCCAUGCCUUGCCCCAACCAAACAGUAGUAACC
rnacentral:lncRNA from 1 species